UGAGGCAUUUUAUGGGAAGAAUCCGCUGCUGUCAAAGGACUUAUCCCGUAUUGUCAAUUCCAAUCACUUUGCUCGCUUGAUAAAGCUCUUGGAUGAGGAUAAGGUUUCUAGUAAAAUUGUAUAUGGAGGUGAAAGGGACAGUGCCAACCUGUGAGCUGCUUUCUGAUUUUACGUCAUUACUUCAUUAUAAUUCAUGCAACCAAGUGCAUGGACCUGUUUUAUGGUUAAUGUUUCUUUACCUUUGGCUGUAGGAGAAUUGCUCCAACCAUCUUGCUUGAUGUCCCACGAGAUUCUCUGAUAAUGACUGAGGAAAUAUUUGGCCCUCUGCUCCCAAUUAUUACGGUAGGUACUAAAAGUGUCUGUCGCAAAAGAGUUCUCUUUUUCUUUUUUUUUUUUUUUU
rnacentral:lncRNA from 1 species